AGCAGCAUUUGUGGAUGAUUACGAUGAAGAUGAGCUGUUGAAUAGCGACUCUGAAUCAUUUCAGAACAGCAAAACAAAUUAUGUUGAUUCCAAUGUACCGGUUUCACCACAUCUGCGAGGUUCGCUCAGAGACACGAGAAAAUUCAUCGGAUGCGCCUUCACGUCGCUAAACACCUCAAGACCACAGCUUGAUUUAACUGCAGAAAUUGAUGAAAGCCUGGUGGUUAAUGACGAGGAUGAAGAUACCGGUAAUCAAAACUACGAUUUGAUUCAUUUGGGAGAUGGAGCAAAUUUUGUGGCUAGUAAAACUGAAAUGACGCAAUGCGUUGAGAGAAAAUCAUUUGAAGCAUCAUCAAUGAUUAGCAAACGAAAAGAAGAAUUUGUGAGCGCUGUUAAAGGAGUAGAAAAUGAAUGUGGCGAAAGUGAUGACGAAAUUGACAACGACAUAUCUUUCAAUUCUAUGAACGUUUCUUCCGCUAACCCGGAAGAGGAUGAAUUAAUGGAAGGGAUCACUUUUAUACCUCCAACUCCUCCCAAUGAAUGUGAAAAUGAGUCAUCAUAUGAAGAUAUCGAGGAACCUAACCAGUCUCAAUCUGAGAUAGACGAGAGAAAAAAUGAGGGGUCAACAAACAAAUUGGGC